AUUGAACGCUGGCGGCAUGCUUUACACAUGCAAGUCGAACGGUAACAGGCCGCAAGGUGCUAACGAGUGGCGAACGGGUGAGUAAUGCAUCGGAACGUGCCCAGUCGUGGGGGAUAACGCAGCGAAAGCUGCGCUAAUACCGCAUACGAUCUCUGGAUGAAAGCGGGGGACCGAAAGGCCUCGCGCGAUUGGAGCGGCCGAUGUCAGAUUAGGUAGUUGGUGGGGUAAAGGCCCACCAAGCCAACGAUCUGUAGCGGGUCUGAGAGGACGACCAGCAACACUGGGACUGAGACACGGCCCAGACUCCUACGGGAGGCAGCAGUGGGGAAUUUUGGACAAUGGGCGCAAGCCUGAUCCAGCAAUGCCGCGUGCAGGAUGAAGGCCUUCGGGUUGUAAACUGCUUUUGUACGGAACGAAAAGCCCUGGGUUAAUACCCUGGGGUCAUGACGGUACCGUAAGAAUAAGCACCGGCUAACUACGUGCCAGCCGCCGCCGUAACAC
rnacentral:rRNA from 1 species